rnacentral:rRNA from 1 species
CUUAUGCCGGCGACCGGCGGACGGGUGCGUAACGCGUAUGUAACCUACCUUUGACAGGGGGAUAACAUCGAGAAAUUGGUACUAAUACCCCAUAACAUCACCGGAGGCAUCUUCGGUGGUUGAAAACUCAGGUGGUCAGAGAUGGACAUGCGUUGUAUUAGCUAGUUGGUGAGGUAACGGCUCACCAAGGCGACGAUACAUAGGGGACUGAGAGGUCAACCCCCCACAUUGGUACUGAGACACGGACCAAACUCCUACGGAAGGCAGCAG